rnacentral:rRNA from 1 species
CCUACGGGUGGCAGCAGUGAGGAAUAUUGGUCAAUGGGCGCGAGCCUGAACCAGCCAAGUCGCGUGAGGGAAGACGGCCCUACGGGUUGUAAACCUCUUUUGCCGGGGAGCAACGGGCGCCACGUGUGGCGCCACUGAGAGUACCCGGAGAAAAAGCAUCGGCAAACUCCGUGCCGGCAGCCGCGGUAAUCGGGGGGUUGCGAGGGUUAUCCGGAUUUAUUGGGUUUAAAGGGUGCGGAGGCGGAGCGGUAAGUCAGGGGUAAAAUUUAGGGGCUCAACCCCUUCCCGCCAUUGAAACUGGCGCUCUUGAGUGGAAGAGAGGUAGGCGGAAUGCGUGGUGUAGCGGUGAAAUGCAUAGAUAUCACGCAGAACCCCGAUUGCGAAGGCAGCAUGCCGGCUUCCUACUGACGCUGAAGCACGAAAGCGUGGGGAUCGAACAGGAUUAGAUACCCCUGUAGUC